CCUACGGGAGGCAGCAGUGAGGAAUAUUGGUCAAUGGGCGAGAGCCUGAACCAGCCAAGUCGCGUGCAGGAUGACGGCCCUACGGGUUGUAAACUGCUUUUAUCAGGGGACAAUUUGGUCCACGCGUGUGCUUAUCGAGAGUCCCUGAAAAAAAGGCCUCGGCUAACUCCGGGCCAGCGGCCUCGGUAAUACGGAGGAUGCGAGCGUUAUCCGGAUUUAUUGGGUUUAAAGGGUGCGGAGGCGGAAUAUCAAGUCAGCGGUAAAAAUUCGGGGCUAAACCCCGUCGUGCCGUGGAAACUGAUGUUCUUGAGUGGGCGAGAAGUAUGCGGAAUGCGUGGUGUAGCGGUGAAAUGCAUAGAUAUCACGCAGAACUCCGAUUGCGAAGGCAGCAUACCGGCGCCCAACUGACGCUGAAGCACGAAAGCGUGGGUAUCGAACAGGAUUAGAUACCCGAGUAGUC
rnacentral:rRNA from 1 species